rnacentral:misc_RNA from 1 species
UUCGCUUUCAUUUCGUUUUCAAAAAUUAAAGUUUUAUAUUUAACUUAUUUCAGAUGCGUUCCGUCACGCUAAAAGAUGUUGAACAAGAUAAGGUUGUCAAGUUCAUCGCUGCCCAUUUGAAGAAGACGGGCAAGAUCAAGGUACCAGAACACAUGGACUUGGUGAAGACCGCCCGCUUCAAGGAGUUGGCUCCUUACNAA